UAGGGAAUCUUCGGCAAUGGGGGGAACCCUGACCGAGCAACGCCGCGUGAGUGAAGAAGGUUUUCGGAUCGUAAAGCUCUGUUGUUAAGGAAGAACGAGUGUGAGAAUGGAAAGUUCAUGCUGUGACGGUACUUAACCAGAAAGGGACGGCUAACUACGUGCCAGCAGCCGCGGUAAUACGUAGGUCCCGAGCGUUGUCCGGAAUUAUUGGGCUUAAAGGGCAUCUAGGCGGUAAGACAAGUUGAAGGUGAAAACCUGUGGCUCAACCAUAGGCUUGCCUACAAAACUGUUGAACUAGAGUACUGGAAAGGUGGGUGGAACUACACGAGUAGAGGUGAAAUUCGUAGAUAUGUGUAGGAAUGCCGAUGAUGAAGAUAACUCACUGGACAGAAACUGACGCUGAAGUGCGAAAGCUAGGGGAGCAAACAGG
rnacentral:rRNA from 1 species